UACAGGGGGGGCAAGCGUUGUUCGGAAUUACUGGGCGUAAAGGGCUUGUAGGUGGCCGACUAAGUCCGACGUGAAAUCCCCAGGCUUAACCUGGGAACUGCGUCGGAUACUGGUUGGCUUGAAUCCGGGAGAGGGAUGCGGAAUUCCAGGUGUAGCGGUGAAAUGCGUAGAUAUCAGGAGGAACACCAAUGGCGAAGGCAGCACUCUGGGACGUGACUGACGCUGAGACGCGAAAGCGUGGGGAGCAAACAGG
rnacentral:rRNA from 1 species